UCUUCGAACUCUUUGUAUUCACCCAAAAAAGAAAGGCCCUUUGAAAGAACUUUAAACUCUUCGAAAGAACCCCAGCACUCUACGACCCCAGUAAUCCAAAGAACAUCGCUGGCGCUUGCAAUGCCUCUGUCGGCGCUCCCUGUUCUGGCACUCGCACCAUCGCUACUCCCACCCUAAACCCCUAACCCUCCUUUGGUGGUGACUCUCUCUGGCGGUGACUCCCUUAACGCUCACUAUCGGUCACAAACCCUCCAUUGAUGCUCCCUCCGUUGCUGCUCCCUUCUGUCACUGCAAACCUCUAACCCCUUCCGCCGCCGCUCCCUUCCGUCGGAGCAUUGGAGAAGGUUUGUUGUUCAGGGCCGCUCCCUUCCAUUGUCAAGCUCGAGGGGGUUGCUAUCACAACCAGCGAAGAGGACGAAGAUGCCAUCCUCGAUCUAUAAUCCCUAACUCAUGCUUUUUCAGAAAACGAAGUUUUACCGAUUCGACAAGGAGGGGAACCGGUGGAAGGAGAGAACUGCAGGUACCGUCAAGUUCCCGAAGAACAUGGUUACUAGCAAGUUCUAAGCACUCCAAAUCAUUGAAAAAGUUAGUGACUCGUUAAUAGAGAGUGACAAUUUUAAUUCUCUCAAUGAGGAAGACAUUUCUGAAGCACUUGCUGUUGCGAGAGUAUUUCCAGUAGAAGUCAAAGGCCGGACGAACGGCCACGCAGACAAUGGUUGUUGGUGGUAGCUAAUAGGUUGCCUGUCUCAGCUGUUAGGGAGGGUGUAAAGGAGUAUGAAACUAGAUGGAUUGGGUGGGCCGGUGUGAAUGUAUCUGACGGCGUUGGGCAGAAAGCAUUAACUAAAGCUUUAGCUGAAAUGAUUCCAUACUUAUGAUUAUGCUAGACAUUUUGUAAGUGCUUGUAGUCGCAUUCUUGGGCUUGAAGGGACACCUGAAGGAAUAGAAGAUCAAGGAAAGCUAACUCGUGUGGCUGCGUUUCCUUUUGGGAUUGAUUCUGAUCGGUUUAUUCGAUUCCUUAAACUCCCUGAAGUCCAGGAGCACAUGAAAGAACUGAAAGAAAGAUUUUCAGGCAGAAAGGUAAUGUUGGGCGUUGAUCAUUUUGAUAUGAUAAAAGGAAUUCCACAGAAGAUAUUGGCAUUUGAAAAGUUCCUUGAGGAGAACUGACGCUAGCGUGAUAAAAUUGCCUUGUUGCGAAUUGCUGUACCAACUAGGACAGAUGUUCCUGAUUGUAUGUUUCAUCUUUAGGCAUGUUAGUUAUUACUUGAAUCAUAUUUAUCAAUUAAUUUAUAUUUUUACUCUUUAGAUACAUAUAUACAUGCAUUUUUGUUUUAA